UUUCAGAUUUUAAGACCAUAUUAUGACAUCCAAAACUGAUGUUAUUUAAACACAACCGUUCUAUGUAACUAUGCCUUCAAAGUAAUUCUAAGGAUUUCUUUACAAGAAGAACUGAUGCUCAUAAGAUUAAUAUUUUGUAGAGGAACCUUUCAAGUGAAGUGGAUUUUUAUGAGUGAAAUUAUCACAAAUUAAUGGGAAUACUCAAACUCCCUGAAAGUGGUUGUGGAACAGCCCCUAGUACAGAAUAAGAAUGCUUGAUUGCAUUAACCAAGUAUUCCCACUUAGACUUGUUUUGCUCUGCCUAUUUUAGGACUUAAAUAUUUUUAUAUCAACCUAAAAAUAAACACUGCUUGGUUUCUAUAAUAGAAAAAAUAUAACCCACAAUAAUAAAAAAUGGAUUAAAAUGACUAAGACUGGCAUAUCACCACGUGCACAGUUGGUUUUUCUUUUCUAAGUUCCAACUUAUCUGCUGGAGAAGAGUAUCAACCUACCAUUUUAUACAAGAUUACUUGGAGCAAUGGAAACCGUACCAGAUAUCUAAAGAAUGCGUGUCUGCAUCUCAUGCUUCCUCGCUGGAAUGUACUACAGCCAGUGGACACAAGAAGCACAUUUUCUCAACCACGGAGCAUAUAUUAUUGAUGGAGUAGUAAACCUGAUGAAGAGAAUUCCCAUGUGCUUGAAGGCUCCUGUUGCAACAAAACAAGAACUACUGAAAAUGAGGUAUACCAGCACUACUAAUGAACAGAAAUUAUUUUGAAGCCAGAUGACAUCAACGUGAAGGAAUAAGUCAAAUAUUAUUUCUGCAUUGGAUUGUAUCAUCAUCAUCAAGUACGUGGACUUUUUUUUUUUGUAGCAACUAGUUAUAUUAAUAUCAGUCACAAAUGUAAAAAAAGAGGGGUAACAAUGAUGUAGGCAUCUCCCAGAGUGGUGCGUGCCCCAUGGCAUGGCUCAGUUAUAACAACUCAUUUUAUGACUACUUCUAGUCACACAAGAUGUGAAAACUGUGACUACAUUCACUUACUUUGAAAGUACUCCCUCUCCUCAGUCUAAUCUUUUGACUACCAUACUAUUUGACUGCCCUAUUGUUUGUAAUGAGAAUGAACAGUUUAUUUUAAUACUGAAUUAGAGGACAGCACAGCCAGAAAACAUUUGCAUAACCAUCAGUGAAGUGCAUUAAUCAAGGCUCUUUCCAUAUUGGUGUAAUUUUUCAUGUUUAGUAUCUGGAGAAUAAAGAGUAAAACUCAGUAUCGUUACAACUUGCAGUGAAGUUCAUAAUAUUUCAAAACAGUUAAAGAAAAGAAAACCCCUUGAUGUUAGAUAUGUACCAAGCUAAUGAAAUUAACAGAAAUGACACUAUUUAGAUACACACAUAGCCUUGCCCUUAAUUUUGAUGUCGUUGCUUUAGGUUUUUCAUGCUUAGGAUACGGUUCUAGAGUAGUAACAAAAUAAAUGCUAUCAUGUUUUACACUGUUUGUACAGUGUUUAAAACAGUGUGGGGCCUACUCUUGAAAGCUAGAUAUUCUCUGACAUAGACUGAGAAUUGCUAGUAUUAACAAGACUAGGACACUAAAAAAUAAUUUGUUAGAGAGCCUAUUUUCGUCACUGCCAAUUUCUUAGUACAGCAGUACAUCUCCCAUAAACUUCAGUGGGUAAAAUUGAAACUCCAUGUAUACAGGUGAUAAAGAUACUGCAAUUACAUAAUGGAUUUACCUAUAUUUUAGGAUUCAUUUGAUUCAGACGAUGAUGAGUGAAAGAACCUAAAACACUGCUGAUUCAGAUUUCAGUUAUAGCACACUCGGUUUAAAAAAUGUAAAUUUUUAAAAACAAUUAUCACUAAUUUAUUUGAGGUACAUGAGGAUAAGGCAGGAGUUGAUCCAGGGAGUAAGAGUCAUCAUAGGACAUAAAAUGGGGAGAGAGACAAAGAGAGUAAAAAAAAGUGGUUACUAAUGUAUUUUGGUUUUACUCUGUUCCUAUGUAUUACACUACAUAAAUUAAGAGUCGCAAAGAAAGAAGGCUGUAGACAAUAUUACGCAAACCCUCAAUCACCUUCUAUUAACUUUAUCUCAGCUAUGUUUCCUGAGUCAGAAGCCAGCAUAUGUUACGUGAAGAAGAGACAAGAAAACUUCACGCUGCAUCUUUAAUAAGAACUCAGUACUAGUUCUUAUCACAACAUCUGUUUUCUGCAAUUUAGACACAUGGAAUAUUAGUGAAAAACAUCAUUUGUUCCCCCAAAAUUUGGGAAACAGAAAUUAGCUUCUGUCAGAGAUUCCUCUGACAUGGUAUUUCUGAAUAUAAUCCAAUUUCCCUUUUCUCCACUACACCAUGUCUACAGAUUACACUCUCACUCAUUCUUAAAAACUCAUCUUUGAUCACAACUAAGUAACAACAUGGAAAAAAAAAAUCUCCUUUAAGAUCUUCGAAUAUCAGCUGUAAUCAUGGUUUGGCAAAGCUUUACCUGGAAGAGAACUUUCAAAAAGCUGCCCCACUUUCAGUUCAGUGAGUUCAUAGCCCUGUUUAUAAAUAAAGGAUUUGUGUCCCUUACUGUUGUUAAAUGGAUAUCAUACAAGACUCAGCUAUACAACAUUUUUAAAACAGUUUGGUGUUUAUCAAAGAUUCUGAAAACUGAAAGCAACGUUGCAGAUUUAAAAAAAGCAGGUAGAAACAUAGAGCAAUUUGAAAACCUAGAAUGAGGUUCCUAACUCUAGGCUUGUGCUGCUGCUUUCUUAACUACCAGCCAAAUUUUUGAGUAUACUGGGAGAUAUUUCACAGUCUGCAUGCUUGAAUAUCAUCCCAUCUGAGUCCAACCUUGCAAAGAUUUCCAGUAUACUGUUCUUAUAAUUGGCUUGGAUGAUGCAUUAAGAACUCUCCUGAUUUUGGCAUUUCAUAUAAAUUUUGUGCAAGACCCCUGAAAUGGCAUUUAGGUACCAAAGCCACUAAUUAGAAAUGGAAGACGAGCAUUUACCAUGAUGGGCAAUGAAAGGCAUGAAAAAAAAAUUCAAAGCCCAAAAUCUUCUGCCUACCUUGAUUUACGCUAGUCAUGUCAAUCGUCUUGCAGAGUAUACAUGAAGAAAUUUUAGAUAGCAAAGCGCCAGUGCUUUGCCUCAGUCAGUACCAAUAGUUUUGAUCCCCUCAAAUCAUGGUGCCACAGAAUUCAAGUCCUAAUGCACACAAGGUAACUUUAUUAAGGUGUAAAACAAGGAGAGAAAGAUACUAUGGAGGUUUUAGGACAGCUGUAGUCUAGUCUACAGUUUAUUUCAAAAUUAGGGUUACAUGACAUGAAACAAACCAAAUGUUUGAUGUGGUGUGAGUUUAACUGUAUAAACAAUCAGUCAUUAACUAAGAGUGUAUUUUGUGUGAAGGCAACAUUCACGUAUAAUUUAGAUAUUACUGAGCCAUUAAUGGAAGUGACCACAUUAAUAGUAUCCUACAGCUGUUAGUGGAUGUGCAAGAAAAUGCCACAUCAGUAAAACCAUGACUGAAGAUUUAAGGAAUUAGAAAAUGUUUGCUUUAGAACAGGGAUAAGAGAGAGGCUUAAGAACUUCUCAUCACUAGUAGCUUAAAAAGCAGCUGUAUACUUCUGUUUUGCUUAAGCAGCUACGUACCAGCUUAAGCACCAUUUUCUAAACAAAGAGAAACCUUUGGCUACUGAUUCAGAACCUCAUUUUAAUGCAAGACCAUAACAACAGUAGUAGGUUCCUUUAUUAAAUAGGUUAUAGUCCAUAUUUGACAAUGUUUUGGGGUUCCAAAAAGUCUACUAGGUGUUUCUCAAACAUCAUCAAUAGGGUGGACUAAAAUACAAUUAUGCAAUUCAGAGCAAAAUGGUAGGCUAGAAUAUUAACACGGAAACUGAAACCUAAACAGGAUUCACACAGUUUAUGCACGUUAAAUUUUGAUACUACUACUCACGUGAUCAUGGGAGUUCCAUAAAUCAAGGUGCUGAGUCCUCAAAAACUAUACUAAUUUUGUAACUACUUUAGAAACAAGAUACUUGCUUGGUUAUCACCUGAAAUUAAAAUUCUGGCAUGGAAAAGUAGCGGUGAAAUGCUAGUACUUCUUAAAUGGCCUUGAGAAGAAGUUUUUGUUUAUGUUACCAAAGGUAAAAGCCAUUCUGCAUUAUCCACAAAGGACAGAGAAUACUUUGCUGAUAACCACAGCGAAUAAAAAGAAAAUCUUUCUUGUAAAAAGUUGCACAGUACACCACUGUGAAGUCCUCACAUAUCAGAGUAUCCCUGAACAGUACUACAAAGCUUUAUGCUUUCUUCAAACCUCCUAUAUGUUCCUGUAUUUUUACAACAUAAUUUCCCUUUAUGUAAAAUAUGCUGAACAGUGCAUAAUUCCUUCUCUGUACAGUGUAUUUUGCUUUAUGUCCUACUUCUAUCAACCUCUAUAUUUGCACAGAGAUAUGAUCCCAUUUAUUUAGUUUAGAAUUUACCGUAUUCCGUGCAAUGAAAUGGAUUAUUUUACUUUCUAAGUUGCCAGGGUACUUUUUUUUUUUUUUUCCUUGCAGAUUUAUGUUCAAGGAAAUAUAGAUAACAUUGCUUAAAUGUUUGCUCCCCUUAUCUUUAUGUUCUAGUCAAGUGUCUCUUGCUUCCAUUCAGAGAGAGAGAGAUCCACAUAUAGAUAUAUAUUAUGGGAACGUAGUGAGUUCAAUAGCAACAGUUUCACGUUUACCAUUACCAUCCAAAAUCUCACUAAAAAGUUGAUUGAAGGAUAUAUUUUUUGUAUAUUCACAUAAACAUAUAGGUCUUUUCAAUUCAGUAUCACUGGUUUCUUUGGCUGUUUUUUUUUUUCCUCCCAGAAAAUGGAAGAGCAAAAUAAUGUUAUUAAGCCAUACUGAUCAAUCCAAUUUCUCUAGAAGCAUAGAUCAUCCUAUCAGUGACAUCCACAAAGAAAUUUCUCUGAAGCUAGACAGCUGAAGCUUCAUUAAAAUAUUUCUGUACGUCUCUGUUCACAGUUAAAACAUACCUAAUAUAUGCCGUGAUUAACCAUAGCAGAAAAAUUCACUUGCUAUUUCCAAGAGUAGCUCACAGAAGCAAUUUUAGAGAAUUAUAUGCAUAAGGGGAGCUUACAGUCCAUCAGAUGUUUAUGCAUUAUAUCUGGUCAGGUAUUCCUUAUUAUUCAUAUGUCAACAUUAAUACAUGCUGAAGAAAAUAGAUUAAUGCUGUUUAUGCCCAUGGCUUAUAGUGCAUGCCUAGAAUGAAGCUAUCAAAAUAAAUUUGUUCAUUUUGGGAAUUUUAGGUUAAUUUGAUGCUAUAAUACUUUAAAGUUCAUAGUAUUUCUGAUUUUCAAAGCUUGUCUACUGUGCAUAGACAACCUGCUCCACAUAAAUACUACUUGAACAUAAGUGGAAGGAUACAUUUCACAAAAUUGAACUACCAGAAAAUUUUAAAACUAAAUCUUUAUCACAGCUUAAAUAGAAUCAGAUUCAUUUUACUUGAGAGAAGCAGCUGCACAAGCAGCAUUAAUGUACUAUAAAACUAGGUAAUGUAAAAAAAAAUAUUUUUCUCUGAUCUUUGAAGUCAGAAGUGAAUUAUGCUAUUUAGAUAGUUUUGUCACCUGUGAAGUAAGCAGGUAUUAAAGGCAGAUAGCAAAAGCUGUAAAAUCUGUACUGAAUAAAGGUUUAGUACAUUUGGGGUUUAUCAGCAAAGCCUUUGAACUUGUGAAAGAUUUAUAGUGUGUUAAUAUCAAAAACUGCAAUACUAAUAAAACUCUUA